UGCCUUGUUGCCAGACUUUGUGGUCUGGAUCUUAGCCCUCCCACAUCCAUGACAAGAUCAAAGUCUCUGCGUCCAGUUAAUCCCAAUCCGAACUCUCUAAUCCCUCUAUUCUCUUCAGGGUAGUCUAGGUUUUCUGGAGCGUGAUGACGAAUGGCAUUGCCAGCUUUAGCAGAUAAAAGUACCGGACGCCCAGUUAGAUCUCAAGUUAAGAUACGUGUUUUUUAAAUAUAGGGGACACAUACAUACUGAAGUAUUCGCUUAUCUGAAACUUGAACUUAAUUGGACAUUCUGUUUUUAUAUGACAACCCCGUCUGCUUUUUCUUUAAGAUGAUUUACGCCAAAAAAAAUCCCGAUGUGGGAGGCAAAAGCAAUUAGCCUGGGACUGCAGCAGAUGUAGCUCAUAGAAGUCGGUCUCCUCCCAGUCUUGGCCUUUAAGAAGAAAGGCAACCCACAAAUCCCGGGAGCCUGCGCAUUAAAGCGAGCUGUGCGGCAGCUUUCCCGCCGGUUUUCUGCGGAAUGUAGCACUGUGGCCACGCCGCGGGGUGGAGCGCCAAGGGUUAUGUCCCCGCCGGAUAGGAAAGGAGGUGCCGGAAACUUUAAACCCCGUCAGAGUACAACGUGUCCACUUAGACGGCGAUGAAAUUUCAGUGGCAUGUUAAGAGAGCUCACACUGCUGUAAGCUGAUGCUGGCUUAAAACUACUUUUAAAAAGAAUCCAUCAGUUCUUUCAUUCGCCACAUCUCGGCUGCUUCCCUAGGAAGCCCUAGCAGCUUUCACAUCCUGGUCAGCUCAGCGGAUUCUCCAAGCCUUCCUUCCCUUUUACAUCCUCGAUGAGCUGUUGCAGCGCAGGCCCCGCUUUCCUUAGGAGCAAGAGCCCUGCCUCUGCUGCCAGAAGGCCUCGCUCCAGUCUCUGCUUCUCACCAGCUCUGGGACUUGAGACAAGCUGUUGAUUUUCUCAUCUCUGAAAUCACUGUUAAAAAAAUUGAAAAAAAAAUCAAGAAAGCUAACAAAUACUGUACUACCUGUGUCUACCUCUCUCACAAAGCUGUUAUAAGGAGCACAUGAGAUAAUGAGCGUAAUUACAAAUUCUAAUGCACUGCAUGUCACUUCUUAAGGUACUGACCUCAGGGUGAUGCACCCGAAAGUGACCCAGCUGAUGAAAGGAGGAUGGGUUAGACCUUGAUGUGAUUGACCGCAUGACCUCAAAGUGUCUGACUGUAAGUGAAUCAAGGGACAUCUCAAGAAAGCUGGAAGAGAAAGGGAAACUGCCAAAUACAACUGCUCGGACUACCAGCAUCUCCGCAGAUGGGAACUCAGCGUUUUCCCUUUGCACAGGAGGACUCAUGAACAGUCUACCACCCCCAGCAACAACCAGAACUCAGUAAUGGCUGGUAUGAGUUAAGGGCCCUGAUACAAUCCUGCUGCCAAGCCAUGAGAAGCUGGAACCCAGGGGGAGGCCACGCACGGCUGCCUCAACCAAACUCUCAGCAGACACCGACAUCACCUGCCAGCCACGUGCGUAGGCCGUUUUGGACUUGCGGCCCAUCUGCACUCCAGGUGACUCUGGCCCCAGCGAACGUCCUGUGACCACGUGAGACACUCCCGGGGAGCACCACCCAGCUGAGCCCAGUCUCAGGACUCAACCCACAGGACUUUGAAAGAUGAUGAUAAAUUGUUUUGUUAAGAUUCUAAGUUUUGGGGUGGUUUGGGGACCUGGCCGGCAACCCAGUCAGGCAUGUGCCCUGACUGGGAAUUGAACCGGCGACCCUUUGGUUCACAGCCUGCGCUCAAUGCACUGAGCCACACCAGCCAGGGUAUAUGUGUGUUGUUUUUUUUUUUCUUACUGAGCUGCCCAGACUGAAUAAACUUCAAACCCCACAAACCAUGGGUCCUCCUGUGCAAAGGGAAAACGCUGAGUUUCCAUCUGAGGAGAUGCUGGUAGUCCGAGCAGUUGUAUUUGGCAGUUUCCUUUUCUCUUCCAGCUUUCUUGAGCUGUAAUCGAUAUAUAACAUUGUGUAAGUUUGAGGUGUACACCGUGUCGAUUUGAUGCACUCACAUACAGCAUAUAUAGCUUUUGCCAAGCCAGCAAAGGCGCAAAGGUGGUAUAUUGCGCUGUAACACUGCCCAGCUCCCUCUCCCUACAGGAUUGGUGAUACAGGACACCGGACAGGAGCCCCUUGAAGAUUUCUCUUUGUCCCCUACUUGUCCAUAAGCAGCACUUGCUUGCUCUGCUCCUGUCUUCCUGCAAGUGGGAAACUGGGGGCGGGGCAGGGGCAGAUGACUGCCCACAGCUGUCCUCUGGGUUCUUGAGUGUAACAACCCCACUGCCCUCUUUUAAUGGAAGAGGAAGCUGAGAUUUAGGUAAACUGUCUCACAGUCACCCAGCUAGCAAGUGAAGGACAGAGCUUGAGCCCAGACUGACUACCAGUCUGAGUUCCUAACCACUGCACACACCGCCUCCUAAGUCCUAUUGUUUCACUUAAUGGAGCGCAGCCCUGGUCCACGCCCCUGCACGCCGACAGUCUGACACUGUUUCCUGCAGAUCAGCCAGACCAUAGAGAGUGCCCGGCAGAGUAAGCCAUGCUCCUUCCCCAGGCGGGGCUUUGGCUGGGGAUAAGAAAAGCUACCAAGAAUCUGAAGGCUGUAAAUGUUAAGGUGACAAUGUGAGAUCUUAAAUAUCAUUCUUGUUUUCCUGGGAGACAACAGGGGAGUCCCAAGCAAAAGAGUUAUUCUCUCUCAACACGCAAGUCAGUCCUGGGAAUGCCUAACGUGAAGCCUUCCAGAAGCCGGCGGGGAAGGAAGGUUUGAGUUUACUGACCAUGUGGCAGGCCUUGUGCCAGGCAGUCCCAGAGACCUGCCGUGUGCUUCUCCCAACACCGAGUCAACACAGGCGUCUUCACCUGACCUGAGGGGCGGCGGAGGGCAGGCGGGAGUAACGCGUGCGGCCACGGGCAACGCUGGUGCUGGGCUUCAGAUACUGGAGCGUGAGCUCCUCCUUCUCUUUGAGAAGGCCGUUUCUUUCGGAUGAAAGGAAAAAUAGUAUCUUGGUGAAGAAGACCAAGAAUGAGCUAAACGAGUGGACUGGAGUUACAAAAUACAGCUGCCUGGAGUCCAUAACACUAAGGAGAAGAAAAACAAAGCCAAGAGAAAAUCGGGCUCCUUGCGGCCCAGUCCGGCAGGGGCCGGAGGAGGGACUGCUGCGUUGAGGAGGGGGUGGCUUUGCAAACGGGCCCCCGGGCAGCAAAAGACCUUUCUUCCGAGAACUCAAAAGGGGGCUGAAGGCAACAGCCCAGUCUCAGAGUGGAGGCCAGAAAGCAUGAGUAACAGUAAGAGGAAUCCUAGCUCUAGGGAGGACCGGUCCCGAGCCAGAGGGGGUGUGGAGCCCCGAACAUCUGGAAGUUUGGGCUGCAGGCCUGAGCCAGGCUGUCUGCGUCCUGCAACACGACAUGUGUGCUGGGCUGGGUGAGCUGAAGAAAAGAAGAAGUGGAGGGUCUGGACUCCCGAGCCUUCAGUUCACACACCCUUCCUUCUCCACUUGAAUUCUUUCAGGAUGGCAUGGACAGGGUGAAUGGUGAUGGGGGUGGGCCCAUUUCCCCUCGUGGAGGAGGGGCCUGCACCUCACGCUGCUGCACGACAAGGUGCUGGGGCUGGGGGAGAGUUAACCACCUCCCGCCUUUGACCCGCAGGCCUGUGCUUGGCUGGUGGGGCCUCGUGUGGAAUUCGGGGCUCGGUCAGAAAGCCCGGCCGUGGCCCUCGGGAGAUCUGAGGGAGGCUCAGCAACCUGGCGCUGCUCUUCGGGUUUGGCACACUUGAGAUUUUUCCAGCGCCUGGUGUUCAGCAAAACUGAAAAUAGGUUUGGCUAGAAACCUUCCUCUAAUUUUUAAACCCCUGUGCGUUUUUUAUGUAAAUUUGAUCCACAUGGUUUUGAUUUAUUUUUAUUUAACUCAUCAAAUCGAAUUAGGGGUUACAAUGAUGAAGGGAACAAUGCUGAUUUCCAAGAAGGUUUCUGAGCCUCUUUUCUUGGAACUAAAUCACCUCUCCCCCACCCCACCAUUAAAGCUACCAGACUGAGCUGGGUUUGAAAUUUAGAACCCAAAUGUGAAAUAAAGAUCCAUGCUUGGCAGAGAGCAAGCACAGCACUGGAAUCUUCUUAGGAAGUUACAGUUAGAAAGCCAGGGUGGGGUGCAGUAGGGGAAUGAAGACGGGAAGGGCGCCGGUUAUUCCUUGUCAGAUGGUUUAAAUCAAUCUACCUGGCUUCCCGGGCUCCUGGCCGAGGCCCCAGCUGUUUCCCUGGGGCCUGACUUUACUACUACCACCCAGGGCCUGCAGUGUCUGUCCCAGGACUGGGGAUGAGGGUCCCCUGUACUUUUUUCUGCAUUCCUCCACACCAGCCAAUUCAAGCUGCUCCUCCUCUUCCCUUUAACUUCCUCCCCCCCUUCUUGGAUCUGGCUAAGGCCUCUCUCUCCAUCUGGAAGCAUUUAAAAUGUACAAUUUUAAUCUUGUGCAAAGGAAUAUUGGGAUCUAUGCUACAUACCCAUUAAGUUAAAUUGUAGGUACACAAUCUUAUUUUGCACAAUUCUGUCUGGCCUAGGUUGGCACGCGCCAACGGCCAUUACUGCCUUUCCCAAUCACUUCUUCUACUGCACCAUCAUUUCCUACAACUUAGGUCUAAGGCAGCACACUUCUCUGAAAAACUGGCCACUGAGACCCAGAGGCAAAAGCGUCUCAGAUCUCUGCAGGUCCCUCAGUCACAGGCACAGGAAUUUCCUUGAACGCGGCUUCUCUCCCUGACACAUACUGAUUGAAUCAUAUAGACCUUGAUAUAAGUCCUGUCUUGCUGCUUAAUAACUGUACAGUGUUGGGGCAUUAUUUUAUUCCCCUGGGUCUCACUUUUCCAUUCUGUAAAGUAGGUUUAAAAAUCAUACAUAUUUCAGAGUUGAGGAUUAAACAAGAUGCUGCAUAUAUUAAAACAAAACAUAGUAUGCUGUCUGACCCAGACUUCUUGUUCUUAUGAAAACUCUACAGUUCUCUGAGUCCAUUUAACAUUUUCCAGAGGUUGCCAGUUGUCCUUUUGAAUCCUUCCCAUUCCCCAGCGGCGUGGAAAUGACCCGCCCACUCCCCUGCCAACCCGCAUCACAGAAAACAGGUGACCCGAGUUGUCUGAUCAACUGACUGGGCCGUCUCACCAGCCCUUGGGGUGUGUGCACACAGGCCCACGUUGUGAGCCUACGGCCUCUUUUUGGGGUCCACAGUAGCGGAAUGAUGGGGAGAGCUAUAAUUUAUCUGAAGAGAGAUCAUCCUCCUUCAAACCAAACUGAACCUCUUCUCACUUCAUACAGAAAGAUAUGUGUGUACACGGGUGGAGAGGUGAGAAGGAAAUUUUUACUGUGCUCUAAGAAGCAAAAUGAUUAGUUAGUGUUUCCUGAGGCAUUCUCCUCCACCAGAACCUGAGUGACCCUUCAUCUGUCCCUUCUGGAAAGGGGAGAGGGGACAGCAUCAUUCGUGCACUCACUGGUUGCUUCCUGUCUGGGCUUUGACCAAGGAUGGAACCCACAACCCUGACCUGGAACGACGCUCUAACCAGCCGAGCUACCCGGCCACUUAUUGUGUCUGAUAAACGCCUCUCUCCCAAGGGGGAAAACAUAGAAGGCCAUAGGUCUAAUGCUUCUUGUUGUUCUCUGGCCAGGAGUAGUUUCAGCAGCAAUAGGUGGACCCUGAUGGGGGCUUUUGGGGGACCUUGGACACUUUUAUAUGUAUAAUGGUCUGCAUCACGAAGAAUUGCUACGAGGGCUGAAGAAGAGAUAUUUGCAAGCUCUUGACAAGUGAUAAUUAUUUCUACCAAGCUAACUUCACCUGAAAUCCUAGGAUUUCAGGAAAUUGGUGUGUCUUCCAUGCCCGAUGCUUACUAGAGAGCUCCCACUGAGCGACCUCCCAACCGCAGGGCUAGGUGUGCUGUGGGCGACUGCUCGCCCCGGCUCUGGCCUGCACGUGCAGUCCGAAGGGGCAAUCUACGACGGCAAAGGCGCUUGCAGCCUAGUAUCUGGGGUGAAUCAGGCCAGUGACGUUCCUCCCGGGUCAUGUGGAACCAGGAGACUGAGAAAUUGGGUUGACCAGUAACAGAGACAUACACAGCACAGCUGGUCACAUUAGUGACAGAACACGCUCAUGAAGGUGACAGAUGCCCACUGCUGAAGCUGUCUGGGACGACCCUGCUCCAGAAGCACCCUUCCAUACAGCCUGGCUGUUCAAGGUCUCUGCCUGUAGACACCAUAGACAUCUCUUCCCAUACCAACAACAUACACAUUUCCCUUUCUCUGAGUCAGCCAGAGCGGGUUCCUGUUUCCUCCCACAGAAAGAGCCUUCACUAAAACAAACAGCACCUACCCUUGGGAAGAACAUGCAGGUGGAGCUACAGCCAAACACGGGGCAUUCCCAGGGCCAGGCACUGCUGUAACGACUGAUUACACAGGAGGCGAACACGGCUGCACUCCGACUCCCUCCUCCCUGCUCCCUCCCACUGUAGAAACUGGGAGAGUUAAAGCUCUCUCCCUCCCAGCCUUCCCUGCAGCGAGGGGAGGUCAUGGGACACGGUUCUGGCCAAAGACCUGCAAGUGAGUAUCUGUUCAGACAGCCACCGCCGCCCACGGCCCUGUAAGAAGGUGCUGUGCUCAGAGCUGCUACCACGGUCGGUCGUGCAACCACAAAGCGCGAGUCGGACGAGCACGUCCCGGCCCUGGCACAUCGGAGGUGCCGUCACAACACUAGCAGCCACCAACUUACAGCCUCCUUGUUGUAUGAAGAAGAUACACCCCUACACUGCCAUCAGAUUUUUCUACAACUCAGAAGUGAAAUCUUAUUCUAAGUUACAUACUCUGAAAUAGAACUUGAUGUUGUUUCUUGUACUGUAAGAAAAAUGAGUUUUUAACUAAAUUUAUGACUUGUUCACAAUUAGUUUCUCCAGACAUCGACUGAAUGAUACCAGCUCUCCAGGUAAUUAAAAAUCUAAGAGGGAAGAAAGUACAUACACCAACAACUACACCACGAAUAUGCUGUAAAAAUGCUGUAAGAGGCAGAUAUAACCUGUGUAUCUGGAGUGGGGUGAAGACUUCACUGCUGGCUGGGGGAGGGGGGAAUCAGGAGUCUCCAGAGAAGAAGCAUUUAAGUUAAACCCUAGAGAAAAAAAAAUAAUUUGGAUGUGUGGAAAUGGGCUGGAAGGGCAUUACAGGUAGAGGGAAUAGCUAAGUAAAUAUGGAAAACUGAAGGUCAUGUAUGGAAAACAGUAAAUUCCUCCUGACUGUAGUAGAAGAACAAAGAUCAGAUGAAAAAGGUAGACCGGUUUAGCUCUGGCUGGUGUGGCUCAGUGGACUGAGUGCUGGCCUGUGGACCAAAAAGAUCACCAGUUUGAUUCCCAGUCAGGGCAUAUGCCCACGUUUCAGGCCAGACCCCCAGCUGGGGGCGUGUGAGAAGCAACAUGUUGAUGUUUCUAUCACAUAUAAAUGUUUCUCUCCCUCUCUCUCCCUACCCCUCUCUCUACAGGAAGCAAGAAAAUCUUAAAGAAAAAUGUUAGACCAGGUUAUAACAAGCCCUGAAUGCCAAGAGUAGCAGUCUGGGCUUUAUUCUCCAAGUCAUGAGGUGCUGUUCACAGCUUCUAAGCAAACAGGGUCGGAGUAGUUGUUUAGGAAAAUGUACUUGAUAGCAAUUAGGUGGACUGGGGAGGUGGGCAGAUGCCAGUGGGGCUAAUCAGCCACCAGGACAAAGGCAGUGAGGGCGUGAAACAGAACUAAGUGCGGACGGAGUGGGGGAAAGAAGCAUCCGUGGGAGACACUAUGCAAGUCCACGCAGCACAAGUCCACUAUUGUCUGGGCACUUGGGUGUGAGUCACGGGAGGCAUUUUGUUGUACGAAAUAGAAACAAAAACCUCAUGUGGUACCU